AUGAGUUUCUUGCUUCUCUCAAGAGCAAGUGGUGCGGAUGGGACUCUCUCCCGCCUGGUUUCCAAUUUCCAGUUAAAGAAUUGGUGGCGAGCCUGAGU
rnacentral:ncRNA from 1 species